CGGGGGGGGCAAGCGUUGUUCGGAAUUACUGGGCGUAAAGGGCUCGUAGGCGGCCAUCUAAGUCAGACGUGAAAUCCCUCGGCUUAACCGGGGAACUGCGUCUGAUACUGGAUGGCUUGAGUUUGGGAGAGGGAUGCGGAAUUCCAGGUGUAGCGGUGAAAUGCGUAGAUAUCUGGAGGAACACCGGUGGCGAGGGCGGCAUCCUGGACCAAUACUGACGCUGAGUGAGCGAAAGCCAGGGGAGCAAACGGGAUUAGAUACCCCGGUAGUCCUGGCCCUAAACGAUGAAUGCUUGGUGUGACGGGUAUCGAUCCCUGUCGUGCCGAAGCUAACGCAUUAAGCAUUCCGCUUGGGGAGUACGGUCGCAAGGCUG
rnacentral:rRNA from 1 species